UACGUAGGGGGCAAGCGUUGUCCGGAAUCAUUGGGCGUAAAGAGCGCGUAGGCGGCCCUGUAAGUCCGCUGUGAAAGUCAAGGGCUCAACCCUUGGAUGCCGGUGGAUACUGCAGGGCUAGAGUCCGGAAGAGGCGAGUGGAAUUCCUGGUGUAGCGGUGAAAUGCGCAGAUAGUCAGGAGGAACACCGAUGGCGAAGGCAGCUCGCUGGGACGGUACUGAGCUGAGGCGCGAAAGCGUGGGGAGCAAACAGG
rnacentral:rRNA from 1 species